rnacentral:rRNA from 1 species
GUUUGAUCCUGGCUCAGGACGAACGCUGGCGGCGUGCUUAACACAUGCAAGUCGAACGGUGACGCUGGAGCUUGCUCCAGCUGAUCAGUGGCGAACGGGUGAGUAACACGUGAGCAACCUGCCCUUGACUCUGGGAUAACCCCGGGAAACCGGAGCUAAUACCGGAUACGAACCGCACAGGCAUCUGCGUGGUUGGAAAGAUUUAUCGGUCAAGGAUGGGCUCGCGGCCUAUCAGCUUGUUGGUGGGGUAACGGCCCACCAAGGCGACGACGGGUAGCCGGCCUGAGAGGGCGACCGGCCACACUGGGACUGAGACACGGCCCAGACUCCUACGGGAGGCAGCAGUGGGGAAUAUUGCACAAUGGGCGGAAGCCUGAUGCAGCGACGCCGCGUGGGGGAUGACGGUCUUCGGAUUGUAAACCCCUUUCAGUAGGGACGAAGCGCAAGUGACGGUACCUGCAGAAGAAGCACCGGCCAACUACGUGCCAGCAGCCGCGGUAAUACGUAGGGUGCGAGCGUUGUCCGGAAUUACUGGGCGUAAAGAGCUCGUAGGCGGUUUGUCACGUCGUCUGUGAAAUCCUCCAGCUUAACUGGGGGCGUGCAGGCGAUACGGGCAGACU